rnacentral:rRNA from 1 species
UGCCAUCAGCCGCGGUAAUACUGAAGGUGCAAGCGUUAAUCGGAAUUACUGGGCGUAAAGCGCGCGUAGGCGGCUUGUUAAGUCAGAUGUGAAAGCCCCGGGCUCAACCUGGGAACUGCAUUUGAUACUGGCAAGCUAGAGUAUGGGAGAGGGUUGUGGAAUUCCACGUGUAGCGGUGAAAUGCGUAGAUAUGUGGAGGAACAUCAGUGGCGAAGGCGGCAGCCUGGCCCAAUACUGACGCUGAGGUGCGAAAGCGUGGGGAGCAAACAGGAUUAGAUA